UCAUCACAGCAAAUUUACGCUUUUGAGAAAUAAAAUAGAAACAUAAAUAAAUAAAAGGAACGCUCUCGAGAAAUCAAGGGGAAAUAAUUCAAUGUUUUUCGAGUAAUUGAUGUUGGAAGGAACGUUCUUAGCCUCAAAGAAAAUAGCAAACAUUUUUUUCCAACUUAACACGCAGAUGAAAACAAACUCCAACUGCUUUUGUAUGUUCAAGCCCCGGAUAAUUACAAAUAAUUAAAAUAUGCAGCUAAACUAAUUAGUGAACAAUCUUAAGGAAGAAAAAAACAACGUAAAUAAAAGGAACCCUUUGAAAAAAACUAUAUAUAUAUAUCAGAAAAGAAUUAAACGCUGAUCGAAUCUUUCUUUGAAAUAUAAAUUUCAAAUACAACUUUUACAUUCUUUUUGAUGCAGGUUCACUUGAACUAAAAUAAAUUUAGAAAUUAUAGGAAUACUGAUAAUUUGAAAAUUAUUUCAUACAAAUGAAUUAAAAAUAUCAAAUAUAGUUCUAAGAAAAGAUGUGAGACUUAAUAGAAACAUUCUUCAUAUCAUCCAGAGACCCCAAGAAUUUCAUACCACUUGGUGUUCUAGAUCUCACCUUUACACAGUGCCCUCCCAAGCAUCAUGAAUCACUUGCAAUAAUCCCUAAUCUCAUGAAUGCAUGCAGUAAACGUUGCGUGAAAGCUGAAGAUUGGGCCGGAAUAUUGAUCAAGAGGUGAACUAGAAAAGAUCUUGGUGUUUGAACUACUAUGUAGUAAGUUUUUUCGGAGUGGGUUGUGUUCGUUGAUCAAAACAAGCGGUUCUCGUGUUGACAAUUGGGAUUUGAGUCAAAUUUAGUAGUAUAGAUAACUAUAGUCAUGUAUAGUUCCAUGUAGUUAUAUAUAUUUAUAUACAAACAAUGUGGUUUUUCCGAUUAUAGUGAUCUUGAUGAUUGUGUUU